rnacentral:rRNA from 1 species
UUGAACGCUGGCGGCAGGCCUAACACAUGCAAGUCGAACGGUAACAGGAAGAAGCUUGCUUCUUUGCUGACGAGUGGCGGACGGGUGAGUAAUGUCUGGGAAACUGCCUGAUGGAGGGGGAUAACUACUGGAAACGGUAGCUAAUACCGCAUAACGUCGCAAGACCAAAGAGGGGGACCUUCGGGCCUCUUGCCAUCGGAUGUGCCCAGAUGGGAUUAGCUUGUUGGUGGGGUAACGGCUCACCAAGGCGACGAUCCCUAGCUGGUCUGAGAGGAUGACCAGCCACACUGGAACUGAGACACGGUCCAGACUCCUACGGGAGGCAGCAGUGGGGAAUAUUGCACAAUGGGCGCAAGCCUGAUGCAGCCAUGCCGCGUGUAUGAAGAAGGCCUUCGGGUUGUAAAGUACUUUCAGCGGGGAGGAAGGGAGUAAAGUUAAUACCUUUGCUCAUUGACGUUACCCGCAGAAGAAGCACCGGCUAACUCCGUGCCAGCAGCCGCGGUAAUACGGAGGGUGCAAGCGUUAAUCGGAAUUACUGGGCGUAAAGCGCACGCAGGCGGUUUGUUAAGUCAGAUGUGAAAUCCCCGGGCUCAACCUGGGAACUGCAUCUGAUACUGGCAAGCUUGAGUCUCGUAGAGGGGGGUAGAAUUCCAGGUGUAGCGGUGAAAUGCGUAGAGAUCUGGAGGAAUACCGGUGGCGAAGGCGGCCCCCUGGACGAAGACUGACGCUAAGGUGCGAAAGCGUGGGGAGCAAACAAGAUUAGAUACCCUGGUAGUCCACGCCGUAAACGAUGUCGACUUGGAGGUUGUGCCCUUGAGGCGUGGCUUCCGGAGCUAACGCGUUAAGUCGACCGCCUGGGGAGUACGGCCGCAAGGUUAAAACUCAAAUGAAUUGACGGGGGCCCGCACAAGCGGUGGAGCAUGUGGUUUAAUUCGAUGCAACGCGAAGAACCUUACCUGGUCUUGACAUCCACAGAACUUUCCAGAGAUGGAUUGGUGCCUUCGGGAACUGUGAGACAGGUGCUGCAUGGCUGUCGUCAGCUCGUGUUGUGAAAUGUUGGGUUAAGUCCCGCAACGAGCGCAACCCUUAUCCUUUGUUGCCAGCGGUCCGGCCGGGAACUCAAAGGAGACUGCCAGUGAUAAACUGGAGGAAGGUGGGGAUGACGUCAAGUCAUCAUGGCCCUUACGACCAGGGCUACACACGUGCUACAAUGGCGCAUACAAAGAGAAGCGACCUCGCGAGAGCAAGCGGACCUCAUAAAGUGCGUCGUAGUCCGGAUUGGAGUCUGCAACUCGACUCCAUGAAGUCGGAAUCGCUAGUAAUCGUGGAUCAGAAUGCCACGGUGAAUACGUUCCCGGGCCUUGUACACACCGCCCGUCACACCAUGGGAGUGGGUUGCAAAAGAAGUAGGUAGCUUAACCUUCGGGAGGGCGCUUACCACUUUGUGAUUCAUGACUGGGGUG